CAGCCGCCGCGGUAAUACAGAGGGUGCGAGCGUUAAUCGGAUUUACUGGGCGUAAAGCGUGCGUAGGCGGCUUUUUAAGUCGGAUGUGAAAUCCCUGAGCUUAACUUAGGAAUUGCAUUCGAUACUGGGAAGCUAGAGUAUGGGAGAGGAUGGUAGAAUUCCAGGUGUAGCGGUGAAAUGCGUAGAGAUCUGGAGGAAUACCGAUGGCGAAGGCAGCCAUCUGGCCUAAUACUGACGCUGAGGUACGAAAGCAUGGGGAGCAAACAGGAUUAGAUACCCGUGUAGUCCCUGUCUCUUAUAA
rnacentral:rRNA from 1 species